AGUGAACGCUGGCGGUAGGCCUAACACAUGCAAGUCGAACGGCAGCACAGUAAGAGCUUGCUCUUACGGGUGGCGAGUGGCGGACGGGUGAGGAAUACAUCGGAAUCUACUUUUUCGUGGGGGAUAACGUAGGGAAACUUACGCUAAUACCGCAUACGACCUACGGGUGAAAGCAGGGGAUCUUCGGACCUUGCGCGAUUGAAUGAGCCGAUGUCGGAUUAGCUAGUUGGCGGGGUAAAGGCCCACCAAGGCGACGAUCCGUAGCUGGUCUGAGAGGAUGAUCAGCCCCACUGGAACUGAGACACGGUCCAGACUCCUACGGGAGGCAGCAGUGGGGAAUAUUGGACAAUGGGCGCAAGCCUGAUCCAGCCAUCCCGCGUGGGUGAAGAAGGCCUUCGGGUUGUAAAGCCCUUUUGUUGGGAAAGAAAAGCAGCAGGUUAAUACCCCGCUGUUCUGACGGUACCCAAAGAAUAAGCACCGGCUAACUUCGU
rnacentral:rRNA from 1 species